CUUAUACAUAAAAGAUGACAAACUGCCCGGUCCAAAAAUGACCAGCCCAGGUAAAUUAUAACUGGAAGACCACCCUUCCAACUUCCUCAACUCCACUCUUCUUGGGUACCUUCGCCUCUUGCCGCAUUGCAGAUGUUCUCCGUCGUUCCUUUCAACUCCAACUUCAUUAAGAUUCUUCUUUAGAUAAUAACUAUUCUCCAUCACUUGUGACGUGUUGUCUUCAUCAGCUAACAAAGGUGUGAUGUCCGGUUUGAAUGCGUGGGUUCUUGUCAAAAUUAAUCAAGGGCAUAGGCCUUUCCUUCCAUCUUAGGAACUCUUUAUGAUAUCAAGUCGAGCGAGCAAAGAUCUCCCAAGCUUCAUUUUCCUGAUUACCUAGCAGCGUGCUUGCAACAAUAUCAGAUUUUUCCUCUUCACACACCCCUUUUGCUUGUCCCUAUAUCACUUUUUGAUGGCAG